UAGCACUAUAUUUAAACCUACAGAUGGGA
rnacentral:piRNA from 1 species